UCAGCAUGCCGGGAGUUGUAGUCUCGGUCCUCCGCUGUGGAGGUUCUUCUCAUGGACUGCUUAUUGGGACCAGGCUGAGAAGCAGGAGAUCUCCGGCUCGUCUGCCGAAUAUUACGGCUGAUACACCUUACUGGUCUACAGCGAGACAUCCUCGAGGAUCCCACCAC